rnacentral:rRNA from 1 species
AUUGCACAUGGGGGAACCUGCAUGCAGCUAUACGCGUGUGUGAUGAAGGUCUUAGGAUUGUAAAACACUUUCAGCAAGGGAAAAAAUUAAUAUAAUAAUACUUAUAUUAACUGAUAUUACCUGCAAAAGAAGUACCGGCUAACUCCGUGCCAGCAGCCGCGGUAAUACGGAGGGUACAAGCGUUAAUCGGAAUUAUUGGGCGUAAAGAGUACGUAGGUGGUAUAUUAAGUCAGAUGUGAAAUACUUAAGCUUAACUUAAGAACUGCAUUUGAAACUAAUAAACUAGAGUUUUAUAGAGGGGAGUAGAAUUCCAAGUGUAGCGGUGAAAUGCGUAGAUAUUUGGAGGAAUACCAGAGGCGAAGGCGACUCCCUGGGUAAUAACUGACACUGAGGUACGAAAGCUUGGGGAGCAAACAGGAUUAGAUACCCUGGUAGUCCAUGCUGUAAACGAUGUCAAUUUGAAGAUUGUAUAUUCAUAUUUUUAUAAUUUUCGUAGCUAACGCAUUAAAUUGACCGCCUGGGGAUUACGACCGCAAGGUUAAAACUCACAAUGAAUUGACGGGGACCCGACAAGCGGUGGAGCCAUGUGGUUUAAUUUCGGAUACCACAGCGGCGAAAAACCCUUUACCCUAACUCUUUGACAUCUUA